AUGACCUCCCAGCCGCAGUUUCGCAAACCAACAGCAGCACUCUACAGAGCGCAACGCAUGACCAUCUGCUCUGCUCUUGGUAGUCUCACACGCUGUACCAGGGAGAAAAGCUAUUGCACAACACAAGGAGCAGCAAGAUGUUUGUUUGUUUUUCCAGGUGAUAAUUUUGGCCUCGCAGUUACCAUAAACAUGACGAAUGGGUCUGCUGUGGAUUUAACACAAUUUUGUGUGAUUUAUUUCAAGUAGAAAUAUACAUAUGAAGAAAUGAAGAAAACAUAUCCUACAUCCCGAAUCUAGAUCAAACCUUUUGGUCUCAGGUAGUCUGGGAUUCCAAACCACUCUG
rnacentral:lncRNA from 1 species